GGGCCGCCGCUGCACCACAGGAGAAGUCGGCGCAGUGAGUUUUUCUCUUCCCCCAACUGAAUAUUCUUCAUUGUUGUAAUUACCGUGUAUUCAAAGGAUCCAUGCAUUCAGAGCUCAUUAAGGCAUAUUUUCCGUUGUUGCAUGUUUCAGGAUUCUGUGCAAAGAAUUAGACCUGCAAUGUUGUUAUAGCGGUGAUUGAUCACCUAAAGCUUUUGUACAUCAGACAGAUGAUGGACCUAUGGCUUGCACAUUUUGUUUUGACAAAUUGUUGAGGCAUUAAGCAAUGCAUAUUUUGUCCAUGAUUACUCUGAGCCGCCGAAGCUCACCAAGUUUAAUGAGAGGUGAUGGAGCGGUGAACGCGGAGAUGCGCACGCGGAGAGGUGAUGGAGCAGUGAACAAACAACUAACACAAAAUGAAAUUGAGUCAUGGUUGGGGCGAGAUUGGGCAGCGAAUUUUCUACUGGCGGAACAAUUUCAAGAUGCUAAAUGUUUGGUUCUUAUAAUAUCCGAUGACUUGCUCUGGUUAGUGUCGCUCUUUCAUUAUUAGAUGUAGUCAUCUUUGUUUCAUAGUUGGAUUUCACAUAAAGUGUCUUACAAAUAACAAGUAACACCUGAAUGGAGCGAAGGGAAGAGGAAACAUAUAUUCUCAUGUGAGACUUUUUACUGAUCUCAGACCUUCAUACUACAUUUAUUUGUUUGUAUUUACAAUACUGGCUAUUUAGUGCAAACCUUUUUGCAUGCAUGAGCUAAUCCUUAUACAAAAGUGAUUUGGGGUUGGUAUUUAGUCUGCUUCAUUGAUGAAGUUGGAAAGUCCUUUAUGCUUAAAUCUAAGUUCUCUUAUUAAUUUUCCUGCAGAGCUUUCGUUACCACAAAGUUUGAUCAUUCUGGAGCUUAUUUUUAGUCGUGUUACAUGGUUCUAAAUAAAAGAGAAAGGAUCAUUUAGAUUGGCUUGCACGGUUCUCUUAUAAAUCUACGUUAUUGCAAGCUUACGGUGUUUUUUGUUUUGUUUUGAUGAUUUCUCUUUGGAUUACCAUAUGUUCCAUGACCGUUCUCUCUAUUACUACCCGUCGCUACCGAUUUAUGCGGUUAUUGCAAACUUGAAACAAUGGGGAGAGUGUGCAUAACAUUUUGAAUCGUACACACAGUAUUUAUUAUCUAAAUUCAGUGUUUACACAACCUAAUAUUCACAUUGGCACAAGAACAUUGGCCUUCAAGAGCAUGUCUUUCAAGAACUCGAUUCAAAGGUCAUGACUGAUUUUGGUUCCACAACUUGAUUCAAAGGACGUAAAGUGUCUAAGGUUGCAGGUGAUGUUUGAUUCUAAGGUACUUCUGCAUAUUUUGU